GAUGAACGCUGGCGGCGUGCCUAAUACAUGCAAGUCGAGCGAACAGAUGAUGAGCUUGCUCCUCUGACGUUAUCGGCGGACGGGUGAGUAACACGUGGAUAACCUACCUAUAAUACUCGGAUAACUUCGGGAAACCGGAGCUAAUACCGGAUAAUAUAUUGAACCGCAUGGUUCAAUAGUGAAAGACGGGUUUGCUGUCACUUAUAGAUGUAUCCGCGCCGCAUUAGCUAGUUGGUAAGGUAAAGGCUUACCAAGGCAACGAUGCGUAGCCGACCUGAGAGGGUGAUCGGCCACACUGGAACUGAGACACGGUCCAGACUCCUACGGGAGGCAGCAGUAGGGAAUCUUCCGCAAUGGGCGAAAGCCUGACGGAGCAACGCCGCGUGAGCGAUGAAGGUCUUCGGAUCGUAAAACUCUGUUAUUAGGGAAGAACAAAUGUGUAAGUAACUAUGCACGUCGUGACGGUACCUAAUCAGAAAGCCACGGCUAACUACGUG
rnacentral:rRNA from 1 species